rnacentral:lncRNA from 1 species
GCAGCCUAGGUCCAUUGGCUAGGCCACUGUCACCUGGGCUGUGAUGUCACGGCCCCUUAGAAGAUCUUGUGGCUACACCCCCCCUCCUCCUUUGGAGGCUGAAAGGAAAAGAAUAAAAAGAGAGAGAGAAGGGUGCUGUGAGAUCUUGCAGACCUAACUCUUCUGAACCUGGUUUCCUGGACCUCCCACCCCACAAAGCUAGAGGAGCCAAAGAGAAAAAAAAAAAAAAACCCACCCAUGAAUAGAA